ACAUUUGGUCUUCACUGAGGUCCGGAGGUCCGCACUUAAAAUGUGUUAGAUUUCCUCGACAUUUAAAAAUACUUCCAGAAGUGAUGGAUAGAGGACUAUUCUCCCUGACUGGCUAACUUUUGAUUUGAAGACUUAUCUAGCUGGUCAGAGAGAAGCGACUAUAAAUGACUUAUCUAGAGACUAUAAAUGACUGUUAUCUAGAGACUAUAAAUGACUGUUAUCUAGAGACUAUAAAUGACUGUUAUCUAGAGACUAUAAAUGACUGUUAUCUAGAGACUAUAAAUGACUGUUAUCUAGAGACUAUAAAUGACUUAUCUAGAGACUAUAAAUGACUGUUAUCUAGAGACUAUAAAUGACUGUUAUCUAGAGACUAUAAAUGACUGUUAUCUAGAGACUAUAAAUGACUUAUCUAGAGACUAUAAAUGACUGUUAUCUAGAGACUAUAAAUGACUUAUCUCGAGACUAUAAAUGACUUAUCUAGAGACUAUAAAUGACUUAUCUCGAGACUAUAAAUGACUUAUCUAGAGACUAUAAAUGACUUAUCUAGAGACUAUAAAUGACUGUUAUCUAGAGACUAUAAAUGACUUAUCUAGAGACUAUAAAUGACUUAUCUAGAGACUAUAAAUGACUUAUCUAGAGACUAUAAAUGACUUAUCUAGAGACUAUAAAUGACUUAUCUAGAGACUAUAAAUGACUUAUCUAGAGACUAUAAAUGACUUAUCUAGCUGGUCAGAGUGAAGAGACUGUAUAAUUUCAUUAUAAUUUCUACUUUUUAAUUUUUUUAAAUGUUGGUUUUAGUAAAUUUCAAUGUCGAUUUUAAGAUUGUUUUUAGCCUACCAAAAACAAAAACAUUAAAAAAAGAUAUAAAAAAAACACCUGAUAAAUACUCCAAGCUCCAGCGAGGUUUGAAUGGGCCCGUAGGCCAGAUGUUUGGUGUGAAGCUACAGAGUCACACGGUCUGACAUACCGCUGAGAUUAGACAACCGCCAAUUCAAUUCAAAUAAAUUAAAAUGGGCCAUGCGGACUCUCUCUUUUGCAGCUAUGGACUGAAGGACGGUGGGAAAAACCCAACGUCUGUUAUUAAAGCUGCGAUAUGUCACCUUUUGAACCAACCGAAUUCACAGAAAAUGAGUUAUAGAUCCGUAAUUCUCAUUGAAAACAAGCCUAAGAAGAUGUGUAGGUAUGUUCUAUGCGCUAUUUUCUAUGCUUCCCGUUCUUAAGUUUUAGUUUUUUUUGUCUUUAUAGCUGUUGUACACCAGUUUCAAACAGCUGAAAAUACAUUAUUUGUUGGUUAUUGAUCAUAUAUUUCAGUGGUUUAGACGGUACAAUGAUUCUCUACAGUGUACUUGCUUAUUUUGUCAUAUAAACUGAAAUUAGGCGAACGAUUUGAAUUUUAGAAACCAGGAAAUGGUGGAGCAUAUUGCAAAUUUUAAAGGUACAGGUCCUGUCCUGUUGUGGUCAGGAUGUGACGGCAGUCUAUUACAGGUACAGGUGUCUAACUGUCCUGUUGUGGUCAGGAUGUGACAGCAGUCUAUUACAGGUACAGGUGUCUAACUGUCCUGUUGUGGUCAGGAUGUGACAGCAGUCUAUUACAGGUACAGGUGUCUAACUGUCCUGUUGUGGUCAGGAUGUGACAGCAGUCUAUUACAGGUGUCUAACUGUCCUGUUGUGGUCAGGAUGUGACAGCAGUCUAUUACAGGUACAGGUGUCUAACUGUCCUGUUGUGGUCAGGAUGUGACAGCAGUCUAUUACAGGUACAGGUGUCUAACUGUCCUGUUGUGGUCAGGAUGUGACAGCAGUCUAUUACAGGUGUCUAACUGUCCUGUUGUGGUCAGGAUGUGACAGCAGUCUAUUACAGGUACAGGUGUCUAACUGUCCUGUUGUGGUCAGGAUGUGACAGCAGUCUAUUACAGGUACAGGUGUCUAACUGUCCUGUUGUGGUCAGGAUGUGACAGCAGUCUAUUACAGGUGUCUAACUGUCCUGUUGUGGUCAGGAUGUGACAGCAGUCUAUUACAGGUACAGGUGUCUAACUGUCCUGUUGUGGUCAGGAUGUGACAGCAGUCUAUUACAGGUACAGGUGUCUAACUGUCCUGUUGUGGUCAGGAUGUGACAGCAGUCUAUUACAGGUACAGGUGUCUAACUGUCCUGUUGUGGUCAGGAUGUGACAGCAGUCUAUUACAGGUACAGGUGUCUAACUGUCCUGUUGUGGUCAGGAUGUGACAGCAGUCUAUUACAGGUGUCUAACUGUCCUGUUGUGGUCAGGAUGUGACAGCAGUCUAUUACAGGUACAGGUGUCUAACUGUCCUGUUGUGGUCAGGAUGUGACAGCAGUCUAUUACAGGUACAGGUGUCUAACUGUCCUGUUGUGGUCAGGAUGUGACAGCAGUCUAUUACAGGUACAGGUGUCUAACUGUCCUGUUGUGGUCAGGAUGUGACAGCAGUCUAUUACAGGUACAGGUGUCUAACUGUCCUGUUGUGGUCAGGAUGUGACAGCAGUCUAUUACAGGUACAGGUGUCUAACUGUCCUGUUGUGGUCAGGAUGUGACAGCAGUCUAUUACAGGUACAGGUGUCUAACUGUCCUGUUGUGGUCAGGAUGUGACAGCAGUCUAUUACAGGUACAGGUGUCUAACUGUCCUGUUGUGGUCAGGAUGUGACAGCAGUCUAUUACAGGUACAGGUGUCUAACUGUCCUGUUGUGGUCAGGAUGUGACAGCAGUCUAUUACAGGUACAGGUGUCUAACUGUCCUGUUGUGGUCAGGAUGUGACAGCAGUCUAUUACAGGUACAGGUGUCUAACUGUCCUGUUGUGGUCAGGAUGUGACAGCAGUCUAUUACAGGUACAGGUGUCUAA